ACACUGGCUUGAUUUACUGUAGCUUUGUAGUAAGUUUUGAAACUAGGAAGUGUGACUACUCCAUCUUUGUUCUUCUUUUUCAAGAUUGUUUGGCUCUUCUGGGCCCAUUGCACUUAACACCUAAAUUUUAGGAUCAACUUUGAUUUCUGCAAAAAAAAGGUACCUGGGAUUUUGAAAGGUAUUGUGCUGACUCUGUAAAUCAGUCUGGGAGAUAUUGCAUUUUAACAAUAUCAAUUGUUCCAAUCCAUGAAUAUGCACUGUCUUAACACUUAUUUAGAUCUUUAAUUUUUUUCAACAAAAUUUUAUACUUUUCAAUUUAAAAGUCUUGCAUUUUUUUGUUACAUAUUACUAAGUAUUUUAUUCUUUUAGAGAGUGGGAUGGGAAUAGGGCAAGUGAAAACACCACAAAACUCACUGUUUUCACAGAGAUUUAGUCAUUUUUAUUGAAUAAAUGCUCUUCCAAUUGUUGUAAAUUGUUAAUUUGCAAAGUUUUGAAACAACCAUUCUUGCCAGUGUUCUCACUUCUUUCAUGGAGGAGUGGAUUUUCUGAAUUUUUUCUGACAUACCAGAAAUCAGAACUGUCUAUUAUUUAUACCACUGUCUUAUUUUAGUUAUCUGCCUGGUUUCCGAGGACAUUUGAGACAUCAAGGCAGGUGACUCAAACAGAGAUGUAUGACACAGAAGUUCAUCAGGUCACCAGGCAUCGUCAUGGCCAACGAGGUUAUAUUAACAGAUAUAUUGGGUUAAAGUUACCAAUAUGGAGGCCACAGGUAGGGUAGUGUCAAGGAGUCAUACUAGGAGUUGUUCCUCAGUGAACUGAAAGUCAAAGAGCCAUGAAGUGGCCAAUAAUCAGGUUUGUUUCUUGAUAGAGGCUCAAACCAAGAGGAAUAUCAUUACACCCCAAAUCUAGGAGAGACAAAUGCAUCUCAAAUGUCAACAUUAAUCAAUUCAUAGUUGUGACCUGGAGCUCGGUGUUGAGAAGACUCUAAUCACAUGUGGGCUUAGUGCCAAUCACUGAAUCAAUCAAUCAGAUCAACUAGAAAAUAAUGGCCACUCAAAUAGGGUGAAAGAGGAGAUUAAAGGGAUUAUUUAGGGAACUAUGGACAGAGUUAAAGGAAGUUAAUUAGGAGGGUCUUGUACUAUAGGCCAGAAAUAGUGAUUGCUGCUCUGAAGCCUGAACAACCUUCAUUCAGCAGGAUUGAUUAAAGAAAUGAGGGUUUUAGUGACUGAUGUAGAGUGGUUUUGUUUUUUUUUGGGGGGGGGGCACACCUGUGGCAUAUGGAGGUUCCCAGGCUAGGGGUCUAAUUGGAGCUAUAGCUGCCAGCCACAGCCACAGCCACAGCCAUGCCAGAUCUAAGCCAGAUCUGUGACCUACACCACAGCUCAUGGCAAUGCCAGAUCCUUAACCCAUUGAGCGAAGCUAGGGAUCAGACCUACAACCUCAUGGUUCCUAGUCAGAUUCGUUUCUGCUGCGCCAUGACAGGAACACCUAGAGUUCUUUUUUUGGCCACUUCUUGUACCAUAACUGAGGUAGGUUGUAAUAAAAUCCAUACUUUUCCUUAAAAAUUUCAGAAUCUCUUGAUUGUAAAUGCUUGGGUAUAUUUUUAUAGGUGAACAAAUGCAAUUUAUUAUUAACUUCUAUCAAACAUUCCAACUCCAUCUAAUAUAUGAGAGAUUCUAAAUUACCAAGGAGCUGCACUAUAGAUUUAAUUAUCUUGCUGAAUCCUUACCACAAAUAAAUCAGCAUUGCAUUGUUUGAAAGCCCCCAAGACCACUCUCACUUCUGACACUAACUGCAAAUUUGAGGGUACCCAAGAUCCACCUCAGGUUCAAUAAUUUGCUAUGACCCGCGGAACUCACUAGAAGCUCUUAUACUCACAGUUAUAAUUUACUACAGUGAAAAGAUAGACAUUAAAAUCAGCAGAGACAAGAGGCACAUAGGCCAGUGUCAGGAGAGAUCUAAGCAUGACCUUCCAGUCUUCCCAGUGGAUUUGUGGACCCUGGUAGCUUCUCUUAGAAAUGCAUGAUAGAUACAUGAAGUAUUGCCAACUAUGACCCUUACCUGAGUUUUUGUGUCCAGAGUUUUUGUUGAGGUUGGUUGUAUAGUCAUGGUUAACUGUCUGUAUGGCUGACCUUAAUUCUCCAGCCCCUUCAGAGGUCAAACUAAUAUUGCAUGGUCCAAGACCUCCCACCAUAAGUCACGUGUUGCAUAGACCAUCUGGUGUUGUCUCCAGGUUCCCAAGUAAAUAAAGACACUCUUAUCAGGCAGGAUGUCCCAAGUAUCAGAAGUUACGUCACAGGAGCCAAGGGCAAAGGCUAGCUCCUUAGACAAGUUUAAUCCUUUACCACACAAGUAUGUAGAGUUAUAGAAUCGUAAUUUAAAAAACAGAAUGGGGGAUUCCUUCAAGCAGGCAGACAUCUGAUAGGGAUUUUCCUAUUGUCCUUGUAGCUCAUUGAUAUUUAGUGUAUGUAAGAACUAUUAUACACAAAAUUUUGCAUGCUGGACAUCCUGGGAUAUGUGAGGGAAUUUCAAGGGACUUUUUACUUUACAGCUUAACUUAUAAAAAUAUCUUGUCACUAUACCUAAUUCCCACCACAAUGAAAUACAUAAGCAGCUGCUGCUAUAAAGAAAUAAAAACAAAAGCAAACAAAAACACCCUAAAUAAAGAAAUUGUUUUUACAAAAGAAUAUAAUCUGGAAAUUGAACUUCUGCUACAGUUACAAUUUACAUUAUAGCCAUGAACAAGUUCCUGUUGUGGCUCAGCAGGUUAGGAACCCAACUAGUGUUCAUGAGGAUGCAGGUUUAAUCCCUGGCCUCACUCAGUGGAUUAAGGAGCUGGUGUUGCUAUGAGCUGUGGGGUCAAAUUGGAGCUGCAGCCACCAACCUAUGCCACUGCCAUAGUAACGCCCGAUCUGAGCCAUAUUUGUGACCAACACCACAGCUCACAGCAAUGUCAGAUCGCUGACCCACUGAGCAAGGCCAGGGAUUGAACUGCAUCUUCACAGACACCGGUUGGGCUCAUUUCUGCUGAGCCACAGCAGGAAUUCCCUGUCCUUAUUCUUGAAUUAGACUUUAGUUAAGCAUGGAAUUCUAUGUCGACCAUAAUUGCCUUCAGCAUUUUCAAGAUAUUACCCCACUAUCUUGCACCUAUUGUUGUGGGUGAGAAGUCCAUUGCCAUCAUGAUUGUCUUGCCUUUAUAGGCAAGAAUCUCUUUUCUCUAUUUGCUAUUAAAGCUUUUUCUCUUUACACCUGAUGUUUUGUGGUUUCACUAUUACGUGUCCAUUUCAUUUCAUUUUUCUAGCACAAAAUUGUUUGUUCCUUCAACUUGAAGGCUCUCAUUUUUCUUCAAUCCUAGAAAAUUCUCAAUCAUUUUCUAGAAUAAGGUCCUGCUGCAAGCGAUACAAAGAAACAAGCAAAGCCCAGAAAACCUCUAAGUUAGUGUGGCUUAUACAAGAUAGAAAUUUCUUUCUCACAUAAAUUAGGUCUUCCAGGUAGUGUCUGAUGAUGCCAGGGGUUCAGGGACUCUUCUAUUUUAUUGAUCCACUAUCCUCAGCAAGCACAUUCUCUACUCAAACUUAAACUAUAACAUCUGCAUUCCAGUUGCUAGGAAGGAAGAAGUACAGAGACGUGCCUACCUCCUCCUUAUAAAUACAUUUCUGGCAGUUGUAACUGCUGUUUUAGUUGCAUCUCAUACAUAGUCAUAUGGUCAAUCUAGAUACAUGGGAAGCUGGCAAAUACUGUCUUUAGUUGGGCAGCUGAAUUCCCAGCUAAAACUGGGUGAUUCUAUGAAUAAGGCAGAGGGGAAGAUCGGUUCCUGGGAACAACUAGUAGUCUCAAGCAUAGCCAUUUUUAUGAUUGCAAAUUUCUCUCACAUAUUCUCUAUUAUGUCUCUCUGAAACUCUUAGUAAUGUUCUAUUCUCUUUGCCUCUUUUUAAUGUUAUUUUUGUGUUACUUUCUGUGAGAGUUCUUCAGCUCUUAUUCCAAUUUACUGAUUUCCUUCCUUCCUUCCUUCCUUCCUUCCUUCCUUCCUUCCUUCCCUCCUUCCCUCCUUCCUUCCUUCCUUUCUUUCUUUCUUCACCAUGCCUGCAGCAUAUGGAAGUUUCCAGUCCAGGAAUUGAAUCUGAGCCAUAGCUGUGAUCUACGCUACAGCUGUGGCCAGAUCCUUUAACCCACUGCUCCAGGCAAGGGAUCAAACCUGUGACUCCAUAGCAACCCAAGCUGCUGCAGUCAAAUCCCAAACCUACUGUACCACAGCAGGAACUUCAAAUACCUUCUCUCUCUUUUUAUUUUUGGCUGUACCCACAGCACAUGGAAGUUUUAGGUUCAGUUUUUUUAGUAUGGUUUUUAUUCUCUUAUGUCUCAAAUCAUUCAAGAAUACUUACUUCAUAGUCUCUUUGCUCUGUAUCUGUAAUUCUUGGGGGAUAAAUUCUGCUAACUUCUUCCCAUAGAAGACAUAGAUAUAUAGAUACAGAUAUACAACAUAUACACACGUAUGUAUGUAGAUAUCUGUAUAUAUGUGUAUGUGUGUGUACGCACAUGUGUAUUUUUUUCAUCUCAUCUUGGGUAUUUCUAUGUUUCAUGGGUGUAGGAUUGUAAAGUUUAUGAUGGAGCAAUUUUGUUUUGUCUCUACCAGUGUCCUUCACGUUUCCCUGGUUCAAACCAGUUUUUCUGUUGCUACCUCAGUUUGAGUUUCCUGCACUGUUCAUGAAUACACAUUUGGCCCCUACUCUUGCGUAUAGCUCAGUUUGGGAGGUAUUUCAUGUGGGUGGUAAUCAGUCACUUUCUCCCCUAAUUCUCAGGCUAAUGGGAGGAUAUAUUCUAAAAUACUUUUCACAGCACAAAAGCUAUUCUGGAAUCCUGGUUCUAUGCUCAGCUCCAACUCCACUGCUCUUGGGAUCUCAAUUCCCCUUCCAGCUCAGCUCAGCUAUUAAAAUCCCAGGUCCUGGAGUUCCUGUAGCAGUUCAGUGGAAAUGAACCCAACUAGUAUCCACGAGGAUGCAGGUUCAAUUGUUCUAUCCCUGGCCUCAUUCAGUGGGUUAAUGAUCCGGUAUUGCUGAUAGCUGUGGUGUAGGUUGAAGUCAUGGCUCAGAUCAAGCACUGCUGUGGCUGUGGCAUAGGCUGGCCCCCAGCCUGGGAAUUUCCAUAUGCCAUAGUUCUAGCCCUUAAAAAAGAAAUUAAAAAAAAAAAAAGGAAAAAAAAA
rnacentral:lncRNA from 1 species